ACUGGAGGUCAGAGGAGUGCUCUUCAGAUGAUAAAACUAACCUGUCUCACGUUGGUCUAAACCCAGCUCACGUUCCCUAUUAGUGGGUGAACAAUCCAACGCUUGGUGAAUUCUGCUUCACAAUGAUAGGAAGAGACGACGUCAAAAAGGACCAAAAAGCGACGUCGCUGUGAACGCUUGGCCGCCACGAGCCAGUUAUCCCUGUGGUAACUUUUCUGACUCCUCCUGCUU